rnacentral:tRNA from 1 species
GGCAGAGUGGCUCAGUAGAAAGGGCACGGGCUUGGGAGUCAGAGAUCAUGGGUUCGAAUCCCGGCUCUGCCG